GAUGAACGCUGGCGGCGUGCUUAACACAUGCAAGUCGAACGGUGAAGCAGGAGCUUGCUCUCGUGGAUCAGUGGCGAACGGGUGAGUAACACGUGAGCAACCUGCCCCUGACUCUGGGAUAAGCGCUGGAAACGGCGUCUAACACUGGAUAUGUGAUGUGACCGCAUGGUCUGCAUCUGGAAAGAAUUUCGGUUGGGGAUGGGCUCGCGGCCUAUCAGCUUGUUGGUGAGGUAAUGGCUCACCAAGGCGUCGACGGGUAGCCGGCCUGAGAGGGUGACCGGCCACACUGGGACUGAGACACGGCCCAGACUCCUACGGGAGGCAGCAGUGGGGAAUAUUGCACAAUGGGCGGAAGCCUGAUGCAGCGACGCCUCGUGAGGGACGAAGGUCUUCGGAUUGUAAACCUCUUUCAGCAGGGACGAAGCGAAAGUGACGGUACCUGCAGAAGAAGCACCGGCUAACUAUGUGCCAGCAGCCGCCGUAA
rnacentral:rRNA from 1 species